rnacentral:rRNA from 1 species
AGUGAACGCUGGCGGUAGGCCUAACACAUGCAAGUCGAACGGCAGCACAGUAAGAGCUUGCUCUUACGGGUGGCGAGUGGCGGACGGGUGAGGAAUACAUCGGAAUCUACUUUUUCGUGGGGGAUAACGUAGGGAAACUUACGCUAAUACCGCAUACGACCUACGGGUGAAUGCAGGGGAUCUUCGGACCUUGCGCGAUUGAAUGAGCCGAUGUCGGAUUAGCUAGUUGGCGGGGUAAAGGCCCACCAAGGCGACGAUCCGUAGCUGGUCUGAGAGGAUGAUCAGCCACACUGGAACUGAGACACGGUCCAGACUCCUACGGGAGGCAGCAGUGGGGAAUAUUGGACAAUGGGCGCAAGCCUGAUCCAGCCAUACCGCGUGGGUGAAGAAGGCCUUCGGGUUGUAAAGCCCUGUUGUUGGGAAAGAAAAGCAGCAGGUUAAUACCCCGCUGUUCUGACGGUACCCAAAGAAUAAGCACCGGCUAACUUCGUG